ensembl:lncRNA
GAUAACUGUCAUAAUUCAAGCAACUGCACUCUGUAGAGCAACCAGAGACCAGAGGCAUCAGGAUUAUAUAUGUUCAGGCAAAUCAUGUGCAAGUGUAGGGGAUUUAUGAGUCACUAACUGGGCAUAAACAAGGAAGGAGGAAGGGCUAGAGGGACUGUCUCUAUGGGAGAUGCUGGGGGGUCCAGAAAACACGUGCAAAUGCUUCCUCCAGAGUGUUGUUAUAUGCUUGAGGUCAGUGACUUCAUCAUGCAAUUUUGCAUCCACCUAUCCUAGUAGCAGCCCUCAGUAAAUGUUUGUUGAGUGAAUGAGUGAAUGACUGUUGACCCUGGCAAUGCACAAUAGCUCCUGAAUUGUUCUGUGUGUGCACAUCUUCUCCCGUUCCUAUUCAAAUAUUUAUUCUAAAUCACUGGAGCCGCAGCUGCCCGACUGAAGAGCCACACUCGAAAUCUCUAUUAGCCAAGUGAGGCUCUAAGCCAGUGCUUCUCAACCUUGGCUGCACUUUAGAAUCACUUGGGGGAUGUUUCAAACUCCCAAUGCUCAGGCUCUACCUCAGACCAGUUACAGUCAGAAUCUCUGGAGCCAAGGCCUAGGCAUCAGAGCUCCAAGGUUGAGAACCGCUGCUCUAAGCCAGCAUGGAAACUGCUCUGGCUCAGGAGUUAGGAGACCCAGAAGAUACCCCUCACUACAAAAAAGUGCCAGUGUCACUUUCACUGAGGCCCAAAGUGCAGACAGAAAAGAGAUAGUUCUGACGGCACUUAGGAAUUUGUUUUUGUACUCCUCUGGAAUUUGAGGAGAGGAGGGUGUGUCACGUGUCUUGGGAAUACCUAACAUUUCAAACGACAAAACGAUGCCACACUGUGAAAUGAGAUGGGAAGCUAUUGAGUAUCCCGGCCCGGCUCUGGGUAGCAACCUCUCUCCAGCCUCCAGGCCACGGGCACACAGAAGCUCUGCGGCGGUCUGCCUGCUGUGCAGCAGCCUCCGUCCACAGGCCCCCCCGAGUUCUUUCUGAGUGAAGUAUUGCAUCUGAGAAGAUCUGAAGUACUUGGGGCAGCAAACAAGGUUUUAGAGGCUGUUUGGGGAAGGCAAAAGCGAGAGGUGAGGGAGCCAGAAGAGGAUUCUGAAGGGAACCAAAAUAUCCAGUGAGGAAUUCAAGAAGUUUUUGCUUUGUGAUGUGUGAAGUCAGUCCCCUCUCUCUUCCCUCCAACAAAAUCUUCAGAAAGUUACUUCUGUUAUCGCACUGUGGAUCUGUUUUGAGGGACACAUCAAGUGCUGAGUUCUGUUUCAAGGAGGGCUGAGGGUAAGAGCAGAUGCUGUCCAAGGGAGCCUGGCCACUCUAGGAAUACUAAAGAACAAAGGAAAAACUAAGUAAACAAAUGAAUUAAUUAAUUAAUUAAUGAGUGGAUCUUGGAACUCCUGCGAUCCUCCAGUAGCUGAUCAUCAUCCCUGGCAAGGCCUGGAAUCACUUCAGUUCAGUCUCCAGCCAAAUUCUGGAACUGGCCAAUUGGCCGGCUCCAUUUCCUAUCUCUUUUCUAUCCAAACUUUCCUUCUGUUUUCUUUUCCUUCACAUUGUGGGUUUGGGGAUUGAAGUGAUUUCUGUAGCAUGAACUCUUUGUUUAUUCAUUCUUUAAUUUUCUGACGUGUAUUGAAUGCUGUGUUGGGUGUGGGGCCAUGUGUGAUGGGGAAUUCUGAGAAAAGAUGGACUUCACAGUCAGCCAGCGAGAUAAGACUGGACUAUUGUAAGAGGCAGGAAGAAGUAGCUGCCACAGAAGAGACAAAAAUAAAAUGCUGUAACUGUUCAAAGAUGGGGUCUCAGGGGGCACAGUGCAGGAUAGAAGGUUGAGAAAGUCUCAUAGAAAUGGUGACAUCUAAGCCAAGCCUUAAAUUAAGGGUGACAUCUGAACAUGAAGAGAGAAGGAUUUGGGGGUUAGAGAUUGGAUGAGGGGGUAAUUCCUGACCUACCCACGCUGCUUUCCACAUUAACAUGCUGCUGACCUGUGUCCAGGCCCUUCUGGAUCCUUCCUCAGUGCUGUCCCGAGCCAGAGGGGAGAUGCAUUGACAUGUUAAUAAAAGAAAACCAGCCUCAGGCUUUUCCACCCACCGCUGAAGAAACCAAGGUUCUUUUUCAACUGUGACCUUUUGGGAACAGCUCCCCCUACCCUGGUCACCCAGUCAGAGAAGGGAAGAGCUAGAGUUGAAAAGAGCAAUAGGAUGGUACUACCAGAGGCCUGGGAUGUGGGAAGGGAAACUGAGGCCCAGAGAAAGAACAUUGACGCUGUAUUCCCUUAGCAGCACUCAAUGAAUAAAUGAAUUAAUGUAGAUGUCUGUUUGUUGCCCCACUUUGACAGUGAGCUCCUCAAGGGCAUGAGCUGAGUCUUACGCGUCUUGGUGUCCCCAGCACGGGACCUAGAACAUUGUAGGUGUGCAGUAUAUGGUAGCUGAACUAGCAUUCUACUGCCCUGGUAGUGAUUCUCAAUGCAUGGUCUCUGGAGCUGUAGUGUCAGCAUAAGCUGGGGACUUGUUGGAAAUACAAACUCUUGGGGCCUCACCCUAGACCUACUGAAUCAGAAACUCUGGGAGCAGAGUCCACAAAUCAGUGUUUUAGCAACUCCCCUGGGAGAUUCUGAUGCAGGUUAUAGCUUGAGAACCAUUGUUGUAGGAUAUUUGAGCCAAAAGACUUGCUCUGGCUUCCUUCAGCACAUCAAGAACUUACGCUUUUUAUAUACAACAGACACAUCUUUAUACUCCCACCCCCUUUGCCAAAAAAAGAGAAAAGAACAGAAAUGCCACAAAUAUAUUACCAGUGACCAGAAAAAUAUAAAUCAGUAGUGGCAAGUUGUUAUCCUUCCUGAAAAAACAUAAACUUUGCCUGUUAAAAAUACAUUCAGUGGGGCCCAGCCUGGUGGCCAAGUGGUUAAAGUUCUGUUUGCUCUGCUUCGGCAGCCCGGGUUAAUGGGUUUGGAUCCCAGGUGCAGACCUACUCUGCUCACCAGCCAUGCUAUGGAGGUGUCCUACAUACAAAAAGAUAGAGGAAGAUUGGCACAGAUGUUAGCUCAGAGCUAAUCUUCCUCAAGCAGAAAAAGAGGAGGAUUGACAAUGGAUGUUAGGUCAGGGCAACCUUCCUCAGCAAAAAAUUUAAAAAUAUAUGUAUAUAUAUUCAAUGAUUUCAAAACAGACUUUUUAUAGAAUAGGAAGAGGGCAAAGAAAAAUGUCAAAAAAAAUUGAGCUGUAGUUUAAUGUGAAACUGCCACUCCUUUCAAACUGCUCAUCCUCCUUGUCAAUCUCAUUGUCAUCCCUGAUAAUUCCUAGGAGCUGCCACCAAUUGAUUCCUUCUGGAGUGGAAGAUCCUGUAAAAUUCAUUAUUUUCUUGAUCACCGACAUUGCUUCAGUACUUAUGGGACAGGCAGAAUUGACGGGAUCUUCUCUCCCUUCUGUAUUUUUGUACUUGGCAGAUAAGAAGAGCAAGGGAGUUUUGCAUAUGUCCACACAAAAUCAAUCCCCAAGUAUAAUCUCGGUCCUCACUAUGUGCUCAGUACUAUGCUGGCUUUGUAGGGAAUAUAGUUGGAUUUUAUUCCUAUCCUCAGGGAACCCCCAAUCUGGUAGGAUGAGUAUAUGCAGAAUGAAUGACUUAGCUUUUGGAUUAGGGCUUUCCAGCUUACAAAGUGUUUUUGCAGAGACAGUUUCAUUCGAUCCUUACAACAGAUCCUGGAAGCAGCACAUAGUGGCUAUAUCAAGGUAAAUCCAAAUCUGGAGCUACAAAAUGACCUGGUGAUAAACUACAAGGAAGGCUCCCUGACUUACAAGCAUUCCUUGGGCGGCUAUAUAGGUGAGUAUAGUCUCAGGUAGGCAACAGAGGAUUGUGACUGUAUCUAAGAGAGCAUAAAUCCAACCAGUUAUACAAGAUGUGAUCUGAGAAAAAAUGUGUUCUUUUAACUGACGCCCACUUGAUAGACUAGCCACGUUGGCUGAUGUGCUGUUUUCUCUGUAAGACAUCCCAAUGAAUGCCUACAUCUCACUAAAAGCUUCUGGCUGGUAGUCCAGUCUCUUGUGUGCUUGUCAAUUAUCUCAUAGGCAUUCCUAGUUUCUCCCAAACCUGUUUAUGCCAGUCGUGCUGAUUUGCAAUUAUACAGUUAAGUAAAAUAUUAUGUUAACCAAUGAAAUAAUGAGUGUAAGAAAAUAAUGAGUUCUUGUUUUUAUGAAAAUUAAGUUGGGUGCUGUGAAAAAACUUGACAAAGAUGUUUUUAUUAAAGUAAAGUUGCUAUUGAAUGAUAUGUAAAUGAGACAACUUUGUGAUGAAAAUUGUAAAAUCUAGAAGGAUUCUGCUCUCACAUUGCUUCAUAGGGGUCUUUAUGUUCUUGCUCCACUUUACAGAAAUCUAGACUGGAAAUUGUAGAUGAUGCCUUGCGGGUGGGCUUUAUGAAAGGGAAAUGAGGUAGAUUUUAAGGAAAAGGCCUUAGCCCUAUAUCAAAAGAUUGGCACAUAAAGAUGUGUUUAAAUGUUUCGGAAUAAAUUGUUAAAUGCGUUCUUUUUUAUGAUUUCCUCAUUUUUUCCAAUGAACUCUUUUUCAAUUUACUUUUUUGAAAUAUUCUACUAAGUGUUUCUCAGUUUUGUUAGAUAAGAGGGCUUGCACUGAUCUACAUUGUCAUGGGGCCUAAACAAACAAGUCAAGGGUACAGGAGAGUAAAAUGUUGAUGGUGUUCUCCAGGGCUGUCCAUUGGAGAGAGGAGCAGACUCAAAUUAUUGCUCCUGGGAGCUCCUUCCUAGUGGAGAGUACGGGUGUUUAAGCUCAUCAUAGACUGAUGUCAUGACCAUUGGGAUUAUUCAGCAUUCCCCCUUGUUCUGAUUUCCUCUUCACUGAGAAAUCCUCUGUCUAUAAUCUGGCCAUCCAUGUACAUUUCCUCUUAGAAGAGAAUGGGCAGAUGAGAGAAGACUUGAGUCUUGAUUCCUGAAGUUGUUAACAUUUUUCAUUGUAAAUAGUGAAUUAUUACAAUAAUGUUUAAUUUGUAGGGGACAAUACCUACUGCCUCUUCUGAUGCUUCUAGUGAAACACACCUUAAAGAGGGUGGAAGUUACCCAACAGUAUUAAUAUAUCUGCCGAUUUUUUUUUUUUUGAGGAAGAUUAGCCCUGAGCUAACUACUGCCAGUCCUCCUCUUUUUGCUGAGUAAGCCUGGCCCUGAGCUAACAUUGUGCCCAUCUUCUUCUACUUUAUAUGUGGGGCGCCUGCCACAGCAUGGCUUGCCAAGCAGUGCCAUGUCCACACCCGGAAUCCGAACCGGCGAACACCGGGCCCCUGAGAAGCGGAACGUGCAAACUUAACUGCUUCGCCACCGGGCUGGCCCCCCAGAUUUUAAUUUGGGAUCACAAUGGGUAAUGAGGUGCCUACACUGUGAGUGUUCAAUAAAUGUUCAUGAAAUUAGUAGAAAUUAGAUAUCCUGUGAUAAGACCGACUAUGGUAUCAUAGAAGAUUCCAGUAUAACAUAAAUUUUAAGAGUAUGGGCUCUGGAGCUAAGCAGACUCCUCCACUUACUGGUUGUAUAACUCUGAGCUUUAGUUUCUUCAUCUGUAAAAUGGAGAUAUUUGUUGAUAAAGAUGAAAUGACAUGAUGUACUUAAAAUGCUUUAAAUGUUCCUGGUAUACAAUAAUUGGUCUUCACCUUAAUUGAAAUUCAGGCUGGUCGCCCUUUCUGUACAUACUGCUUUGUAGCACUUGGGAGUGAAAUCCCCUCGUUUUCCCUUUUUCUAUUUGCCAUGGAGUCCAGAAGCAUUUUACAAACUCCUGUCAAUUCCAAGUCAUUGCUCUUCCUCCUUCAUUAAAAUAAGCAAAAUAAACAAAUGAGAGCAUGUCUCUUCUACUUUUGAGCACAUCAUUUGACUAUAGAAACCUCUACCCUCCCUGGCCAUUGUCAAGAUCCAAACAUCAAGUCAUUUCCUCACAUCAUCACUGUCUUCUCCAUCCCAGUUCCUCAUUCUUGUGGAGGACUCAUGUAUUAAUUAUCCAUUGCUGUGUGAUAGAUUAACUCAAAACUUAGUGUCAUAAAACAACAAACAUUUAUUAUCUUACAGAUUCUGGGGGGUCGGAAAUGUGGAAGCAGCUUAGAUGAGUGGUUCUGGUUCAGGGUCUCUCAUGAAGUUGCAGUCAAGAUUUUGCUGGGGCUGAAGUCAUCUGAAGGCUUGACUGGGGCUGGAUGCUCUGCUGCCAGGAUGGCUCCUUCGCAU